rnacentral:lncRNA from 10 species
CUUUGAGCAGGCAGGCUGAGAUUUUAGAAAGGAGCAUCGCACUUCAGACCAGGCGCCACACAUGGCCAAUAACUGCCACAUUGAAGUGCAGCUCUGAUGUCAGCGGUGUGAAGGGCCCAAGCAAACCUUUUCUGCCAGAGGUGAAGGAAGAGCCUCUCCCUACCAACAUCUCUCUUCCGUUCCGGGGGUGGAACAGAUAGUGGCCAAAGAAAGAGGAGACGGCAGCAGGAAUAAAAUAAUUACAAGUAAAGCACUGCUGGAUGAGAUCACAGGCGCGCGCCACCAUGCUCGGCUAAUUUUUUGUAUUUUUAGUAGACACGGGGUUUCACCAUGUUGGCCAGGCUGGUCCUGAACUCCUGACCUCAGGUGAUCUGCCCGCUUUGGCCUCCCAAAGUGUUGGGAUUACAGGCGUGAGCCACCGCACCCAGCCUCAAAAUGUUUUUUCUUUCUUUUUUUUUAAUUUUAAAAAAUGAUGGGAACAUGUCAAAGGGAGCCAGCCUGAAAGAACUCCCAAUGGUCCAUCCUGGAACAAUGUUAGCAUCCAAAUGAAUAAUUAGAGCACUGACCUAUAAAAUAAAUCAAGUCAAAUAAAUAAAUACCCAUGCAUUUACACUGAUACACAAAAAACUUUAAAUAAAUAAAAAAGAAAAAAGGAUAGGGAAAUUUUUUUUUACAGAAUUCCAAAUACUAAUCAACAUAGAUAAAAUGCUAAAGAAACCAUCACAAAACCACCAGUUAUUAUUGUAUCCAAGGUUAACUGAGGAGUGUAAAAAUUGUAAA